UGCAGCCACAUUCGUUCCAUUUUUAUCUCUUCACUAAUUUUUACUAUCAUUUAUUUCAUGUUUAUCUCUCAAAAUCAGUUCACUUAUCUACUUCCUCGACCAUUCUCAAUCUUGCAUAAACAUUCUCUGCAAAGCUUUUUUUUCCUAACAACUCACCCCCAAAAUUUAGCCAACUCAAAUACUCUCUUGCUUUUGUAAAUUUCCAGCUUGUUCUUCUCCAAAUCGGUAAGUUUAUUUCCCCAAAUUUCAAUUCAUAAAGAACUUCUGAAACUCUGUCAAUUUCUAAAAUCUCAGCAACGAAAACAUUCAGCCUCUUGCAUCCAAGAAAUCACACACACCAAAGCAUAAUCAUUCUAUUUUCUGCAAUACUCCAACACUUUUACUGUUUUACAUGAAAAAUCAAAAGAAAAUGAAAGAAUUAAAAGAAUAAUAGUAAGAAAUUAGAAGAAAAGAAAAGGAAAUGAAUGGAAGAAUUGUUGGUGAAGAUUGUUGUUGCCGGAGAGGUGAAAGGGGGAGGCAGCCUGACCGGCUGCUGCUGUCUGUCGAGGGGCGGCAAGGGCCGCUGCUGUCGGCCAAAGGAGAGAGAGAGGCAGGGGCAGUGGUGGCGCUGGCAGGCGGCGAAGGUCGCCGCCGGAGAAAUGAGUGGCCGCGGCUGGGCGCGGUGAGGAGAGGGACAGAGGGAGGCGGGAGAUGAGGGAGGGAAGUCGACGGAGAGGGAGAGAUGAGGGAAGAGGGAGAGAGGUUGAGGAGAGGACAGGGGAGCCAGAGCCGCCGGCCUCCGGCGGCGGCGUGCCGUCUGGUGGCGGCGGCAGGAGGCCGAGAAGAGGAGAGGGAGGAGGGCUGAGAGAGGGUGAGCUGCGUGAGAUGUGUGUGUCGUGGGACUUAGGAGUGUGAUUAAAUUGGGGUGAAGGGAAGUUUGGGCUUGGGCUUAGGUUAAUGGGCUCAAUUUAUUAAAUGGUUGGGCUUAACUCUAUUUAUAAUAUGGCUGCAUUUGCAUAUAUUUUUACAAAUGAUAUUAUUAAAUUUUAUAUUCGAAUUUGUGUUAUUAAUUUGAACUUAGUUUUACUUAAAUAUUGAGCUCAAAUAUUUUUAUAAGAAAAGUUCUUUUAUAAUUUAUUGGAUCGAUGAUUUUUAAAAGGUUUUAUGAUAAUAAAUUCUUAUGAUUUAAACUACUAUUAUUAUUAUUUUAAAGUUCAAUUAGGUCCUUAUGUUUUAUUAUUUGAAUUUAUCUAACUAGGUGCGGCGCGACUAGGACGUAACUUUUGAUUGAAUUUCUCAAAGUUAGCCUUCAAGUUCAAGUUACAGGUGUGGGAUUUAUUUCAGUAUAUGCUGUGGUUAAUCUUUGUCCAUUUUAAUAUUAUGUGUUUACCAUAUGUGAGUUACAUUAAAUUAUAUCGCUAGGGGCCCGUUGAAUGGGUCCAGGAUGGUAAAGAUCCUUGGUAUGCCACAAUGCGAUAUACAUGUUAAAGUUAUGGUUGCAACCAGUCGCCAGGGGCCGGCUGAAUCGGUCCAGGACGGAAAGGUCCUUGGUAUGCCACCGUGCGACUUUCAGUUACGAAUGUUUGAUCAUAUGUGUUUCCAUUUUAUUAACGUGGACAAUGAUUGCAUGUUCCCACACUGAGUGUACCCUGUAUACUCAUCCCAUAUUUAACAUUUUCAGGUUUUAAAGGCCGGAGGCGCGUGGAAGGUCGAAUGACGAAUCAAAUAUUUUGAAUUUAGUUUUUCUUAAAAAUGUUAUGUUUAGUAAAGUAUUUUAAAAUAAGAUAUUUAUUUCUUUAUUUUCAUAUUAAAUAUUUAUUUAUAGUCAUGAUUUUCCACGUGUGUUUUCAUUUAAAAUUAAAAUGGAUUUGGGUGUCACAACAGGCAUGCACAAGCCCAAAAAAUAUCCAUACCUCGAGUAAAACAAGCAUCAUUACAACAAGUUGCAUAUAACAUAUGCAUUCUUAAUAAUAACUUUAUAAAAACUGAAAUUUAAAACAAUCCCUCCAUUAUAUAUCUUCCAUAAAAUUUAUAUAUUUUUUCUUCUUAUUUAUUUAUAUAUAUAUAUAUAUAUAUAAUCUUUAAUCUCACAUUGUUCUUUUAUAAAACUUCAUUAAAUAAAACUUUAUAUAGAAUGAUAUUUUAUUAUAUCAACUAAAUUUUGAUAUUUAAUUGACAAAAAUAAUCUUAUCAUGUCGAAAUAAAAUUCUAUUUAACUAAUUUAUGAAUGGUUAGACUGUGGAUGCAAAUUUGCAUCCACAUUCUAACCAUUCAUAAAUUAGUUAAAUAGAAUUUUAUUUAUUUUAAAUAAAAAUAGAAUUAAUUGUUUUAUUAUAUUAUAUAUAUUUCACUUAUUUUUUUUAUACUUUUUGUUUUUAUUUUAUUUUAAAAAAAUAAAAGUUUAUUAUAAAAUUAUAAAAAAUAGUCACACUUAUUAUUUUUACCCUUCACAUAAAAAACUUAAAAUUUAUCCAUUAAUUUUUUAGUGUGUUAAUUCGAGUUUUUGGGCUCGAAUUCACGACCAAGACCAAUUCUAGUUAUGAGUUUUUAACUUUAAAAGUUAAAAUUAUAAUUCACAAUUAAGACUAUUUCUAGUUGUACAUUAUAUCUUUAAAACUCGAAUUCAUAACAAUUUUUUAUUCGAGUUCUAGUUUUAAAACUCGAACUCACAACCAAAAUAAUUAGUUGUGAAUUCUAGUGUUAAACUCGAAUUCACAAUCGAUAUAUAUUCGAGUUGUGAAUUCUAUUUUUAAAAUUCGAAUUCACAAUGAAGACAAUUAGUUGUAAAUUCAAACUUUAAAAGUCGAACUCAUAUCCAACAUUAGCGAUUCAAUUGCGAAUUUAUCGAACUGAUUGUGAAUUCAAGAAUAUUAAUCAUUCAAACGUCACAAAAUUAUAGUGAUUCACUCCACGAUUAGGUAGAGGGCUAUGCUAAUAAAUCUGAAGACGGUAAAACAUUUCAUCAAAUAAUUGAUAAGAAUAUAUCGAUUUUCAAUCGAACUGAAGUUGAAGAUCCAUAAAAAUAUCGCAAAUUCUUGGGUCAGGCGGGUCUGACCCGCCGCCUGACCCGCGCCCGAACCUGAAGCCCUGACCCGCGCCUCCCUCCCCACCUAAAUCCUAAAAAGUAACUAUUGUUAUAAUAAAAAGUAAUUAUUAUUAUGAAGAAAUGUAAUGUUUUUAAAUUAUUACAUUUGUUCACGAUAAUUGUUACUUUUAUUCAUUAGAAUUUGUACUUUUCGUUAUUUGAUCAAAUAAAUGUAUAUUUAGGGUUUAAUAUUCAAGGUUUAGGGUUUACUAUUCUCAUUAGGGUUUAGUAUUCAUUAUUUAGGGUUUAAUAUUCAAGGUUUAAGGUUUAGUAUUCAGUGUUUAGGGCUUAAUAUUGAUUAUUUAGGGUUUAGUAUUCAGGAUUUAGGGUGUAGAAAAAUAUUGAAUGAUAGGAAAUAUUUAUAUUGACAUAAGUAUACAUUUGUGCAUACAAAUGUAUAUCUUAGGAUAAAUAAAAGUAAAUAUUUCCAUUAAGGUUUAGUAUUCAUUAUUUAAUUAGAGAAAAAUAAUCAUUUAUAUGAAUAAAUGUAAUAUUUAAAAAAAUAGAAUAAAUGAAAAAAAUAGAAAAAAAAAUUAAUUAUUCAUAUGAAAUGUAAUAUUUUGAAACAUUACAUUUGUUCAGAUUGAUUACUACUCCCCCCAUCCACUAAUUUAAGACCUAGGAGCCAAAACACAAGUUUUAAGAAAAAAUAUACUUUUAUUAGUUGGGUGGAGAAAGGGACCUACAAAAUGUAUUGUUUAUUGGUUGAGUGGAAAAAGGGACCCACAAAGUAUAUUGUUUAUUAGUUGAGUGGAGAAAAAGUGUAUUGUUUAUUGGGACCCACCAAUUAAAAUAUAAAUAAAAACUUACUAAAAAUAGAUAGGCCUUGAGUUGGUGGACGGACCAAAAAGGAAAGUAGGCCUUGAAUUAGUGGACAGAUGGAGUACUUUUCUUCAUAACAAUGAUUACUUUAUAUAUGCGUCCAGCCCUAACCCUAAACUUUCGGGUUUCGGGCUAGCCCAUCGGGCUAAUCAGGUUAAAGGAGUAAAAAUAAAAUUAUCAUUUGUAUUUUAUUAUUCCUAAUGAUCUAAUGUAUAAUGUAUAAAAUAUACAUAGAUAUUAAAGAUAUAAAUUAUAUAGCAAAGCAUGAAAUGCAAAAAUAUAAGAUAUUCAAGGUUACAUAAACAAAAUUAUAUUAAAAUGAGAUAGUAAAAUUUAACAUGUAUCAAUGCACUAGAAUUAAUCUGGAUUAUUACUGAAUAAUUAGUGGAUUUGCCAUGCACGUCUCAUUGACAGAAAAAAAAAAUGGUAUCACUUUAAAAUGAGAUACUAAUAAUUAAUUUCUAACUAAUGAGAUACUAAUAAUCAAUUUCUACAAAAAAAUCCGUAAUUAAUUUCACUUUUUUUAAUGAGAUUGCGCACACACACAUAUAUAUUCUAACUAAUUAGUUUCACUUUUUUUAAUGAGGCUACAUAUAUAUUUAAGCAAAUACCAUAGAUCUAAACAUAGCAGAAGUUGUAACGGGAUGCAUCAGUCACAAUUCUGUCAGCCCACCGGGUUUUCGGGCUAGCCCUAUCGGGUUCCGGGUUAGUCAGGUAUGAGCUAAUCGGGCUGGAGGUUUUUUCGGGUUGCAAUUUUUCAACCCUAACCCUCUAAUUUUGUCGGGUUAUUCGGAUCGGCCCACGGGUUUCGGGCUGCAUUGACAUCCCUAAUUAGAACUAUAUAAUCACGUACGACGUCAAAUUUUGAAACUAGACAAUGAAUAUAGUUAUUGCAUCUAGGACUAGCUCUAAGGAAAAGAUUCUCAAAAUCAAUAUAUAUAUGAGUAAAUACUUACUAGUAGUUGAUCCAAGAUAAAAACACCCGAAUCUAAUUAUCUAAAUGACCCGAAUCUAAAUGAUCCAGUAAAAUUAGACCAUAAUGGAUCGUAAUUAUCUCUAAUGAUAAUCAUGAUUAGCCAUGCAACGCGAUGUUAUAAUCCAUUCAAAAACAAAAAAAAACAUAGAAAAAUAAAAGUGUUUUCAACUGUGAAUAGCCAAACGGCCCCAGGCUUUUGAUCUAAAGACCGAUAAGAAUUACUUUUAAAUUAAAGAGAUUUGCCACUUAUAAGUUUUGCAUUAUUAUUAAAAUACGAUUUUAUUGAAGAACGAAAAAAAGGAAAAAAUCUAAUGAAAACCCUUGAAAGCAUAGAAGACGCAAACUAAGAGACGAGCCUCGUUAAAACCUUGUUACAAAAAACUGAAAGGAAAAAAUCGUAACCAAAAAAAGAGUGCUCGUCUAAAGAAAAAUCAAAGAAGGAUCACACGGCGACGAGGAUGGGAAUAAUGUGAUUGUGAACUAAUGCCACAUUAUAUGGGAUCUCGAUUGUGAAAUCGGACUUUUAGCAAAUCCCAAAAAGUAUAUAAAUAAAUGAUAAAAAGAAGAAAAUCGCAUGGGGGCAUGAAUGAUUGGAGACUUAUAAACAUUAAGAAAAAUGAAAUAUAUGAUAUGUGAUUAUGAUUAGAAAGAGAGGCGCAUGCACAUCGCAUCACCGAAAAGAAUUAAGCAAUCCCAAUUCAUUUAUCCCUUGUUUGGGGCCCACUACUCAAAUUAUAAUUGCUCUUAAUUUCAAACGAUUCUCUUCGAGGAAAACGCAAUACAUUUUUCAAUCAACCUACUCUGCCUACUUUAUUUAUUUUUAAUUUUAUGAGAUUUAGGGAUGAUCAUGUGAUUCAAUUAACCCUAAUAGGCUACAAAAUAACUUAAAUAUUGAAACUUGAUUGUGGGGUUAGUUCGAGUAUGGUUUAUAGAUUCUGUAUUUAAUAAAUAGUUUUAUAUAUUUAUAAUGAGAGAGAAAUGAGCAUCACUCUUGUUUAGUUUAUGUUAGUAUUAUUUGUUGGAAAUAUGGUUUUUAGACAUUUUCUGGAAUUAAUUAUUUAAUUAAAUAUUUAUUAUUUAAUUAAAAUAAUUAUUGGAUGUUAAUCUACGUCUCGAGUAGAUGAACGUGGUAUACUUGAAGUCUCAAAACCGAUUUCCGGUGAGUGAGAUAUUGUAUAUCAAAGUUUGGAUGUUGAGAAGGGAAAUAACACUUGUGAAGUGUUCUUGUCCCACAUUGGAAAACAAGGGAAGAAUACUCUUGUAUAAGAAUAGCAAUGCUCAUGGAGCUAAUAACUUUUGGGCUUGCUAGUGGGCUUGGAUGAAGGCCUUGGCCUCGCGCGCUGCCGCCGACGAUCGAUCGGACGCCGCCGCCGGACGGGCGGGUCGGGUACGGGCCGCGGCCAAGGACUUGGAUCUUGGCAAUUGGUGCUUUGGGUGGUGUUUGAGCCCAAACUAUAUAAAUUUUUGGACAAAAUACUUUUGGGUUUUUUGGAUUGUUAAUUCUCGGCCCAAUUGUAUUUGUUUUUCAGCCCAACAUAAGCCCAUCCGUUCAGCCCGCCCAAGCUUUUGAAGAGCUGCAAAAGUUUCCGAAACUGCUCAUCUUUUGAAUUCUGGAAUUGAUGCAGAAUGAAUUCUGUAACUUCUGAAUUCAAAUUGUGUAACAUCCCAGCAGUUUUAUGUGGAUUAAUUCCCAUAAUGCAGUCUUUAUUUUCCCCCCUUGAUGAGUAGCCUAUAAAUAGGUCUAGAGCAUGGCCAUUGUUGCUUACAGAAAAUCUGCAUACUCCACUACUCUCUAAAAUCAUUCUUGUGCUCAGUUCUCGAUUCCAUUACGUUCGCCGGAGCUCGCCGGAUUGUGGUGCUACAUCCAACGAGACGUCGUCGUUUUACCUUUGGGGAAGAUUCGCCAACACCGUGAGCACUACCGGGACGAUAAUCUUCUUGCGGGAAGCGAUUCAUCUCGACUCGACGGUUUCUCACGUUUGUUUUAUUCCCAUUGUAUUUUCAUUAUCGUUUCCUUGUUACUUCUAAACCGUUUAUUUUCUUCGUUCAGUUUUUCUAGCUUCGAUUGUUUAGUUUGAGUUGUAAAAGUUCACUCGAUCGUGUACUCCGUUGUAACAUUAUUUUUUGUUUUGCAUUUUUAUUUUGAUUUGAUUACCUUUAAAAUUGUUAAUGACAUCAUUAAAUUGACAAAUUACAUAAAACUCAAAUGUCGAUGGUUCAUUUUCCCUAUAAUUUUAAAUAAACAAAUAAAAGAGAAUAAAAUGAGCUUUGAUUUCAUGUCUGUUUCGUACCACCUCCUUUACUAGAUAUAUACAAG
rnacentral:lncRNA from 1 species